rnacentral:rRNA from 1 species
GAGUUUGAUCCUGGCUCAGAACGAACGCUGGCGGCGUGCCUAACACAUGCAAGUCGAACGCGAAAGUAGUCUUCGGACUGCGAGUAGAGUGGCGCACGGGUGAGUAACGCGUAGAUAAUCUACCCCUGUGUCUGGGAUAACAUCGCGAAAGUGGUGCUAAUACCGGAUACGCUUUUUUGAUCGCGAGAUUAGGAGAGUAAAGAUGCCCUCUGAUUCAAGGUAUCGCAUGGGGAUGAGUCUGCGUACCAUUAGCUAGUAGGUGGGGUAACGGCCUACCUAGGCUGCGAUGGUUAGCGGGUCUGAGAGGAUGAUCCGCCACACUGGAACUGGAACACGGACCAGACUCCUACGGGAGGCAGCAGUGAGGAAUUUUGCGCAAUGGGGGAAACCCUGACGCAGCGACGCCGCGUGGGUGAGGAAGGUCUUCGGAUCGUAAAGCCCUGUCGGGUGGGAAGAAGUGUGCAAUGGUUAAUACCCAUUGCAUUUGACGGUACCACCAAAGGAAGCACCGGCUAACUCCG